UACGGAGGGUGCGAGCGUUGUCCGGAAUCACUGGGCGUAAAGGGCGCGUAGGCGGCCUGAUAAGUAGGGGUGAAAUCCUGCGGCUUAACCGCAGGGCUGCCUUCUAAACUGUCAGGCUAGAGCACGGUAGAGGCAGAUGGAAUUCCCGGUGUAGCGGUGGAAUGCGCAGAUAUCAGGAGGAACACCGGUGGCGAAGGCGGGUCUCUGGGCAGUAACUGACGCUGAGGAGCGAAAGCGUGGGGAGCGAACAGG
rnacentral:rRNA from 1 species